rnacentral:rRNA from 1 species
ACAAUGGAGAGUUUGAUCCUGGCUCAGGAUGAACGCUAGCGGCAGGCUUAAUACAUGCAAGUCGAACGGUAUAAGUGGUAGCAAUAUUGCUUAGAGAGUGACGUACGGGUGCGUAACACGUAUGCAACCUACCCAAAACAGGAGGAUAGCUCGGGGAAACUCGAAUUAACCCUUCAUAGUAUCAUUAGGUGGCAUCACCAGAUGAUUAAAACUCCGGUGGUUUUGGAUGGGCAUGCGUCUGAUUAGUUAGUUGGCGGGGUAACGGCCCACCAAGACGAUGAUCAGUAGGGGAACUGAGAGGUUGAUCCCCCACACUGGCACUGAGAUACGGGCCAGACUCCUACGGGAGGCAGCAGUAGGGAAUAUUGGUCAAUGGGUGAGAGC